AAGCCAUGUUGUGAAGAGAAACCUUCUGGCUAGGGAUCAAGAAGCAUUUUCUUUUUGAUCAAGGAACAAGAGAAAAUUUGUAUUUCACAAGUCAGCACAGAAGGGAACAAAAACCUCUAAAAGCUACCUUGAAAGAACUACAGCAAAAUCAUGAUUUCCACUCCACCAGAGACAAGGCUCGGAAUAGAGAGAAUUUGGAACAUGAGGGAAAGACUACUGCAUAG
rnacentral:lncRNA from 1 species